rnacentral:rRNA from 1 species
AUUGUAUGGAACGUGAGGGGUUUGAACAACCCGGCUAGGAGAGCAGUAGUUAAGGAGUUGUUGUACCGGAACAAUGUAUCCCUAGUAUGUUUGCAAGAAACAAAACUAUCCUUCAUCGAUAGAGCCAUGGUGAACCAAUGUUGUGGCACGGAGUUCUCUGAGUUUGCGUAUCUAUCGGCUGUUGGGUCUAGAGGAGGUGUGUUAAUGGCAUGGAAGGGUGACCACUAG